AGUAAAAUCAACAGUGUUAAUCAAACAGUGUUAAUCUGCAUUUACUCUUAAGGAGUUAAUUUAACAACAAAUAGUGAAAAAUACCCCCUAGUGUUGGUGAAAAUAAUCAGAGUUGAAUUCUGCUUCGUUAAAUUUACUCUGUUAAGCUCCGCCCCUUAAGCCAACUCUGAAGACCUGAGCGGAAGUUCUCUCGUCGCCAUUUUCUUUUGCCUCGCACUAAAAGCUUCUCCUGUGCACUCAAACAAGUCCCUGUCUUCAUCCUUUGACUCCACUGACUCACAGGACACACUCAUUAUUGAAGAACGGUUUUCAAGUACACGAAUGAGGCUCGAUGAUGAAGCUAAAAAGGUGGGCAACACGUUAUUACUUAUGCAUUUGAGGGGGAAAGAAAAAAAAACUUACUGUUGAAACUAAUAAAUCAAUUUAAAAAUCCAACAUUAAUUUGAUCUUUGAUUAAACAUUUAGAAGAAUAUGUAUAAAUAUAUAUAUAUAUACAUACACAUUUUUUUAUUUUUUUUUAUUUUGCAGUACAUCACAACCAAGGAAUGUGAAUGAGAAAUAUCCCAGAGUAAUUGUGGUGUUCCUGUAUCUCAGUGGACCCCACCCCCACGAGCAUUGCUAUAUUGGUGAGCGUGCCACCAGAUACUUGACAUGGAGAAUCAAAACUAUACAGAGAGGCAUUGCUAAAGAACAAGGAGUAUCAUUUAAAGGAAAAGGAUUGUCUUGUCAAGGCCAGAAAAGGCGUCUACAUCUCAAGUGGGGAUUAGCUUGUCUUCUAGAAGAGUGAAACAAGCAUUGAGGAGCAUCUUCAAGACAUCGCUGGAAGUGCUCAGUCCUAUCACCUGGCUGUUGAAACGGAGAAUUCAGUUCACCAGUUCUUCAUUCUUGAUCAACAUGUCAUUCCAUGCAAGUCAGCCUCUUCUUUUGUUGCCUUUUGAUUAAAUGUUUUAAUGGGAUUAUGUUUAAUGUUUAAUGGGUUUAAUUCACCUAAAAAUGAGAAUUCUGUCAUUAACUCUCCCUCAUGCCGUUCCAAACCCGUAAGACCUUCGUUCAUCUUUGAAACAACAAUGAAGAUAUUUUAAUGAAAUCUGAAAGUUUUCUGUCCCUCUGUUGACAGUUUACACAACUAGCACAUUCAAGGCCCCGACAGGUAGUAAUGAGACAUUAAAGUAAUCCAUGUUACUCUGUUGGUUUAACCUCAACUUUAUACACGCAUUCACACAACGACUGCUUUCAUUUCAGCAAAUCACUCAUGCGUCGUGAUGCUCUCAUGUACGCAAGUCCGGUUUUGCGUUGCUUCAUAAAACUGAAGUUAAAUCAACAGAGUCACAUGGGUAACUUUAAUGAUGUCUUUACUGCCUUUCUGCACCUUGAAAGUGGUAGUUGUGUAGGCUGUCAAUGAAGUGACAGAAGUCUCCCAGAUUUCAUCAAAAAUAUAUUCAUUUGUGUUCUGAAAAUGAACAAAAGCCUUACAGGUUUAGAAUGAAAUGAGGGUGAGUUAAGGAGAGAAUUUAUUUUUUGGUGAACUAAUUUUAAGGCACACUUUGUUUUGGGCACCAUUUAUAACACUAUUCUACACAAGAUGUACACUCUUGUUGUCAGAAUGAAA